rnacentral:rRNA from 1 species
AAAACUUGACAUCCGGUGAAUCUUGAUGAAAGUCGAGAGUGCCUUAGGGAACACUGAGACAGGUGGUGCAUGGCUGUCGUCAGCUCGUGUCGUGAGAUGUUGGGUUAAGUCCCGCAACGAGCGCAACCCUCGUCCUUAGUUGCCAGCAUUAAGUUGGGGACUCUAGGGAGACUGCCGGUGACAAACCGGAGGAAGGUGGGGAUGACGUCAAGUCAGCAUGCCCCUUACGUUUUGGGCUACACACGUACUACAAUGGUUAGGACAAAGGGCAGCGAACUCGAAAGGGUAAGCGAAUCUCAUCAAACCUAGCCUAAGUUCAGAUUGCAGGCUGCAACUCGCCUGCAUGAAGGAGGAAUCGCUA